rnacentral:rRNA from 1 species
ACCUACGGGAGGCAGCAGUAGGGAAUCUUCCACAAUGGACGAAAGUCUGAUGGAGCAAUGCCGCGUGAGUGAAGAAGGUUUUCGGAUCGUAAAACUCUGUUGUGAGGGAAGAACAAGUAUGAGAGUAACUGCUCGUACCUUGACGGUACCUCAUUAGAAAGCCACGGCUAACUACGUGCCAGCAGCCGCGGUAAUACGUAGGUGGCAAGCGUUGUCCGGAAUUAUUGGGCGUAAAGCGCGCGCAGGCGGUCCUUUAAGUCUGAUGUGAAAUCCCACGGCUCAACCGUGGAAGGUCAUUGGAAACUGGGGGACUUGAGUACAGAAGAGGAAAGCGGAAUUCCAAGUGUAGCGGUGAAAUGCGUAGAGAUUUGGAGGAACACCAGUGGCGAAGGCGGCUUUCUGGUCUGUAACUGACGCUGAGGCGCGAAAGCGUGGGGAGCAAACAGGAUUAGAUACCCCGGUAGC